UGAGGAAUAUUGGUCAAUGGACGCAAGUCUGAACCAGCCAAGUAGCGUGCAGGAUGACGGCCCUAUGGGUUGUAAACUGCUUUUAUAUGGGGAUAAAGUGGGGAACGUGUUCCCUUUUGCAGGUACCAUAUGAAUAAGGACCGGCUAAUUCCGUGCCAGCAGCCGCGGUAAUACGGAAGGUUCGGGCGUUAUCCGGAUUUAUUGGGUUUAAAGGGAGCGUAGGCCGUUUGGUAAGCGUGUUGUGAAAUGUAGGAGCUCAACUUCUAGAUUGCAGCGCGAACUGUCAGACUUGAGUGCGCACAACGUAGGCGGAAUUCAUGGUGUAGCGGUGAAAUGCUUAGAUAUCAUGAAGAGCUCCGAUUGCGAAGGCAGCUUACGGGAGCGCAACUGACGCUGAAGCUCGAAGGUGCGGGUAUCGAACAGGAUUAGAUACCCUGGUAGUCCGCACAGUAAACGAUGGAUGCCCGCUGUUAGCACCUAGUGUUAGCGGCUAAGCGAAAGCAUUAAGCAUCCCACCUGGGGAGUACGCCGGCAACGGUG
rnacentral:rRNA from 1 species